GACGAACGCUGGCGGCGUGCUUAACACAUGCAAGUCGAACGGAAAGGCCCUGCUUGCAGGGUACUCGAGUGGCGAACGGGUGAGUAACACGUGGGUGAUCUGCCCUGCACUUCGGGAUAAGCCUGGGAAACUGGGUCUAAUACCGGAUAGGAGCCAUUUUUAGUGUGAUGGUUGGAAAGUUUUUUCGGUGUAGGAUGAGCUCGCGGCCUAUCAGCUUGUUGGUGGGGUAAUGGCCUACCAAGGCGGCGACGGGUAGCCGGCCUGAGAGGGUGGACGGCCACAUUAGGACUGAGGUACGGCCCAGACUCCUACGGGAGGCAGCAGUGGGGAAUAUUGCACAAUGGGCGCAAGCCUGAUGCAGCGACGCCGCGUGGGGGAUGACGGCCUUCGGGUUGUAAACUCCUUUCGCUAGGGACGAAGCUUUUUGUGACGGUACCUAGAUAAGAAGCACCGGCUAACUACGUG
rnacentral:rRNA from 1 species